ACAGAACAGAGCUGCUGCGCAAGAGAAUUUAAUUGUUAUAUUUAACUAAAUCAUGCAUAAAAAAAUAAAUAAAAAAAAUACAUUAUCAGCAUAAUUUUAUAUUCCAGUGAGCAAGGACAUAAUUUUCUCUCACACUAAACCACGCCCCCAGUUUGGAGUCUGGACUGAGUUCAACCUUAACUUGAAAGUUUUAAAGCGGGAUAAAGAACUGGAGGUUUUCAGCAAAGAAGAGAGACAGCACGUUAAAAAGAAUCCAGAGGAAUAUUUAUGUUAAGCUGGGGUCAGCCAUGAUACAGCACCCCUGGAGCAGAUAGGGUCAAGGGCCUUGUUCAAGGGCCCAACACUGGCAUCUUGGUGGUGCUGGGGCUUGGACCCCCAAUCUUCUGAUCUACCUUGAGAGCAUUUUUCAUACAGUGUACUGUAGGUACUGAAAAUACAGCUGCCCCAGUGAAAAUCAGCUGCUGUGACACUACAGGCUCAAGCUCUGGCACCCAGGCCGACGUGUACCACUGCCGUGUCUGUACCCUGAGUGUGUCUGCACUUUUCAUACACCAGGUCUGUGCUGAGUUCAAAAGAAUUACAUGUGUGGACCUCAAAACAGCCUUUAUGACAUCUCUUAAUGAACAUAGCAACUCCCUCAUCAAAAUGUAUCAUGCAAAGAGUACAGACCUUGUACUGUUGAUGAGAUAAAACUUAUCCGGGACAAACUUGAUGAGCAGAUAUCCUAUCUCAAAGAUUCACUACAGUUCUACAGGGACUCCCCUUGUACCUCAGGGACCGUGAAGCAAUAUCAAACACCUGUCUGGUGAGUUUUUAACUUUAUUUUGAAAGCCCUUUAAUGCUUGCUAUUUAGGAAACCUAUAAAUAUCUACAAACUCAAACUCAGUUAGUUUAUUGAAAGACAUUGAGCUCUUCUAUAUAUUUUUGUAAUAUUUCUUCUUUUUGUCUACAAAAUGCGUUUACAUGUUUGAAAGUUCAUGCCAAUUUUUCAUUGAUCACCAUUCUUUUAACAAAUGUGCAGUUCUAUUUAGUAAGUGCACUGAUUUGGUUUCCAUGUGGCUAUUUUCCUUGAGUGAUUAAGAUGGGUAAGCUUCAGGUAAGCACACAAUGUCAGGCCAUGUUUUGUUUGCAUGAGUGUAUUUGAGUUUUGAUUUUACAUUUACCAUGCACAAUCAUUUCUCAUUAAAUAUAAUUCUUAGGAAACAAAUUUAGAAGAGACCUAAACCAGAGGAUGGAAACUGAACAUCUUGAAGUGAUGGAGGAUGACCUCUCACAGGCAGCGAAGCAGACAUGUCUAAAAUUUGGCAUCAUUCUGGAGGUAACUGUGUUCAUGGAGGACCUAUCUGACUUUCCCAUGGCUUUCAUAGUACUCUUUAGACUUCUCUAUGCGCAUAUGAGACAACAUCUUUGUGGGACAGGGAGAAAAGUGCACCAACAUAGUUCAGUCCCUUACUUUUAGAGAUACAGUACUAUUGUUCAGUCAUACAUAAUCACGGAUGGGAGCACCUAUAUUUUUUAUAGACCAUCCUUAUAAUUUUGAAAGGGAAACACUGAUUUGUGUUCCUCCUACAUGCUGCUGUUCUGUCAAACAAUGUUUUAUAAUCAUUUGUGGCAGUGUUUUAUGAAGCCGUUUUAACUGUGAUGUUUUAUUUAAAUAGCGUAGUCUUAAAGGAUUAGUUCACCCAAAAAUUAAAAUUCUCUUAUGAUUUACUCACCUUUAAACCAUCCCAGAUUUGUAUGUCUUUCCUUCUUCAGCAGAACCAAAAUCUAGAUUUUUUAAGCACAUUUCAGCUCUUUUUGUUCAUACAAUACAAGUGAAUGGGUGCCAUCAGGCUGCUGGCUCUUUGAUGGUCCAAAAGGCAUAUUUAGGCAGCAUAAAAGUAAUCCACAUGACUCCAGUCAAUCAAUGAAUGUCUUUUGAAUCAAAUUGAUAGGUUUGUGGCACCAAAUAAUAUUAUUUUCUCAUCAUAUACUCACCCUUAUGCUGUCUCAAACUUGUAUGAUUUAAAAAAAAACUUUUUUUUUUUUUUUUUUUUGUGGAACACAAAGAUAUUUUCAUAGAUGUCUGAUGUAUUUAUAUCGAUACAGUGAAAGUCAAAGGGAUUCAACACUUGAGUGGUUUAAUCCAUGUAUUCUGAAGCAAUAAGAUUGGAUAUCAAGGUUUAUUGUGAAUUAUUCUUUUAAAUUUUUGUCUGUUUCUCACCCAAAACCAUUCGUAUCACUUCAGAAGACAUGGAUUAAACCACUGGAGUCUUAUGGAUUACCAUUAUAUACAUUUUGGAUCUUGAAAGUUUUGAACACCACUGACUUGUAUUGAAUGGAUUUAAAUAUCUUAAAUCUAUGAAACUAUCUUUGUGUGAGUCCUGCAGAAGAAAGAAAGUCAUACAAGUUUGAGAUGUCAUAAGGGAGUAAAUGAUGAGAGAAUUAUAAUUUUUGGGUGAACAAUUCCUUUAAGAGAAAUCCUGAUCAUCCUGCCUUUAACAGGUUUGUGAAAUAAUGUUUUGUAAACAUUGUCUCAAACUGGUUUAUGAAAUAAAUAAUGUUUUAUUAAAUUUGUCUAAUUUUUUUU